rnacentral:rRNA from 1 species
GACGAACGCUGGCGGCGUGCCUAAUACAUGCGAGUAGAACGCUGAAGAGAGGAGCUUGCUCUUCUUGGAUGAGUUGCGAACGGGUGAGUAACGCGUAGGUAACCUGCCUGGUAGCGGGGGAUAACUAUUGGAAACGAUAGCUAAUACCGCAUAAAAUGGAUUAUCGCAUGAUAAUCCAUUGAAAGGUGCAAAUGCAUCACUACCAGAUGGACCUGCGUUGUAUUAGCUAGUUGGUGGGGUAACGGCUCACCAAGGCGACGAUACAUAGCCGACCUGAGAGGGUGAUCGGCCACACUGGGACUGAGACACGGCCCAGACUCCUACGGGAGGCAGCAGUAGGGAAUCUUCGGCAAUGGACGGAAGUCUGACCGAGCAACGCCGCGUGAGUGAAGAAGGUUUUCGGAUCGUAAAGCUCUGUUGUAAGAGAAGAACGAGUGUGAGAGUGGAAAGUUCACACUGUGACGGUAUCUUACCAGAAAGGGACGGCUAACUACGUG